GGUAGUAAUUAUUUUAUAUUUUGUACUUUGUAUUUUUCUUAAUAAUUUUUGACCAACCUAAAGAAUAAUUAUGAAAUGGUUUAAUUUUUUUUUUAGUUCUAUGUUGUCAUGGCCAUUGGAACUUCCGUUUAUUUGGGGGUGAUUUAAAUAUUCUACCGAAAAAAUAGGAUAAAGUAUUUCUCAAAUUAUUCUACAUUUUAUAAUAAAAAAUACUAACUUAAAUAACUUCAAUCAAGAAAAGGAAAAGAUAUAUGUUUUCUUUGUAUUUUUUAUUAUUUUUGUUUUACACAAGGAUGAAGUAUUAUUUAAGAGGAAUAUUUGAUAACUUAUCCCUCAAAAGAGACUCAGUAUAUCGCAAUUACAUGUGAAUCACGUUGAGAUACGUUGCAUAUUGUACAUCUAAGUUGAUCCACAUGCAUGUUGAGAUAUGUAGAUCUGAGUAAUCGACGGAAAAUAAAAAGUGAUACAUAAUUAAAACUUAAACUAGUGAGAUUUAUAUUGUUUGUUUAUUUUCAUUGGGCAAACUAGUUAAACAUACUUUCCUAUCAUAGUUACUGAUCCUCACUAUAGUUUGAAAUAAUUACAUACCAUAAUUCAUAAUCCGAUUAAACAUUUCAAGUCAGAUACACCUGUAUAUUUGUUAUAUCAAAUACAUUAAGAUAGGAAAAGACGCGAGCAAAAUCCCUGAAUACAUAUGAAUCAUUCUCAUAUAUAUGUAAAUCACACUAAAUAUGUGUAUAUACUAGAUACAUCUAUCUGGAAUAUCAGAUACCAAGUGAGACAAGUGAUAUAGGAGAAAAACGUGCAUAAGAGUCAAAGACAUACGAAUCCACCUGAAUAUAACAUAUCUAAAACAAAUUACACCUAAUUUUGACCUCAUAUAUAAAAUCUAUAUCCAAAAUCUGAAAUACAUUUAUCUAUACAAACACGUCAAAUAUGUAUAUCGAAAAUCUAAAAUGCACACACAUCAAAUAUAUACAUUAUAUAUAUUCAAAAUCUACUAAAACUCAUAAUAUUAAAAAAAAAUUAAAGCCGCCCAAUGCGAUCGUAUUGUAUAAGCCCAAAUUGGACACCGUGAGAUUUAAAAGGGAAAUUUUGUCAAUUUUCUCUCUAUAAUCUCUCUCUCUGCUUACGGCCCUCUUUCGAGAUCUUCGUCGUCGGCUGUUCGCAGAGAGAAUAAUAAUAAGAAGAAGAAAGGAAUUGAUUGAAAAGAGAGAUUAGCACAAAAAUGACAAUGAGAUCUGGAAAGUUGCUUUUCAGUUUCGUUGUAGUAUUUGCUCUGAUUUGCUCGGUCCUGUUUCCGGCCGUUCAGGCACAAGAGGGUUUAGCUCCGGCACCUGCUCCAGCAAGCGACGGUACAACAAUUGACCAAGGGAUUGCAUGUGCAUUAAUGUUGUUGGCCUUGGCCGUGACAUACCUUGUUCAUGCUGCUGAUGUUCCUUUUUAAUUAGCUUCUAAAAAUAAUGAGAGUUUAUUGAACAUCAUUGGUGUUUUGAGUGCCUAGGUUUAUGGAAAAUUUACAAGGUUUUUCUUGUUAUUACACCUAGGACAGGACCAAUUUAACUUUGACAAGCAAAUCUUUUUUGGGGUUCCAACAAUAUUUUAUAUAACACUCUUGGUCAAGCUUUUUCAUUAUUCUUUGUAUGGAUUAAAUUAUUUAACACGUUAUCGAGAUGCAAUUUUAUCA